AACGCUGGCGGCGUGCCUAAUACAUGCAAGUCGAGCGGUAAGGCUCCUUCGGGAGUACACGANCGGCGGACGGCAGAGUAACGCGUAGGAACGUACCCCAAACUGAGGGAUAAGCACCAGAAAUGGUGUCUAAUACCGCAUGUGCUCCUCGGAGUAAAGCUUCGGCGGUUUGGGAACGGCCUGCGUAUGAUUAGCUUGUUGGUAAGGUAAAAGCUUACCAAGGCGACGAUCAUUAGCUGGUCUGAGAGGAUGAUCAGCCUGACUGGGACUGAGAACGGCCCAGACUCCUACGGGAGGCAGCAGUAGGGAAUUUUCCACAAUGGGCGAAAGCCUGAUGGAGCAACGCCGCGUGCAGGAUGAAUGCCUUCGGGUUGUAAACUGCUUUUAUAUGUGAAGAUUAUGACGGUAGCAUAUGAAUAAGGAUCGGCUAACUCCGUGCCAGCAGCCGCGGUCAUACGGAGGAUCCAAGCGUUAUCCGGAAUUACUGGGCGUAAAGAGUUGCGUAGGUGGCAGAGUAAGUUGAUAGUGAAACCGUACGGCUCAACCGUAUACACAUUA
rnacentral:rRNA from 1 species